rnacentral:rRNA from 1 species
AUUGAACGCUGGCGGCAGGCCUAACACAUGCAAGUCGAACGAGUGGCGGACGGGUGAGUAAUGUCUGGGAAACUGCCCGAUGGAGGGGGAUAACUACUGGAAACGGUAGCUAAUACCGCAUACCAUCGGAUGUGCCCAGAUGGGAGUAGCUAGUAGGUGGGGUAAAGGCUCACCUAGGCGAAGAUCCCUAGCUGGUCUGAGAGGAAGACCAGCCACAACGGAACUGAGACACGGUCCAGACUCCAACGGGAGGCAGCAGUGGGGAAUAUGGCACAAUGGGCGAAAGCCUGAUGCAGCCAUGCCGCGUGUAUGAAGAAGGCCUUCGGGUUGUAAAGUACUUUCAGCGGGGAGGCGUUACCCGCAGAAGAAGCACCGGCUAACUCCGUGCCAGCAGCCGCGGUAAUUC